rnacentral:rRNA from 1 species
UACGUAGGGUCCGAGCGUUGUCCGGAAUUAUUGGGCGUAAAGCGCGCGCAGGCGGUCCUUUAAGUCUGAUGUGAAAGCCCACGGCUCAACCGUGGAGGGUCAUUGGAAACUGGGGGACUUGAGUACUGAAGAGGGUCGCGGAAUUCCCGGUGUAGAGGUGAAAUUCGUAGAUAUCGGGAGGAACACCGGUGGCGAAGGCGGCGACCUGGGCAGAUACUGACGCUGAGGUGCGAAAGCGUGGGGAGCAAACAGG